AUUGAACGCUGGCGGCAGGCCUAACACAUGCAAGUCGAGCGGAUGAAGGGAGCUUGCUCCUGGAUUCAGCGGCGGACGGGUGAGUAAUGCCUAGGAAUCUGCCUGGUAUUGGGGGAUAACGUCCGGAAACGGGCGCUAAUACCGCAUACGUCCUGAGGGUGAAAGUGGGGGAUCUUCGGACCUCACGCUAUCAGAUGAGCCUAGGUCGGAUUAGCUAGUUGGUGGGGUAAAGGCCUACCAAGGCGACGAUCCGUAACUGGUCUGAGAGGAUGAUCAGUCACACUGGAACUGAGACACGGUCCAGAGUCCUACGGGAGGCAGCAGUGGGGAAUAUUGGACAAUGGGCGAAAGCCUGAUCCAGCCAUGCCGCGUGUGUGAAGAAGGUCUUCGGAUUGUAAAGCACUUUAAGUUGGGAGGAAGGGCAGUAAGUUAAUACCUUGCUGUUUUGACGUUACCAACAGAAUAAGCACCGGCUAACUACGUG
rnacentral:rRNA from 1 species